AGGACACAGCGAGGCCACCAUUUUGUGAGAGCCCGACGAGGAACUGGAGGAGGGAGCGCUUCUCCUGCUCUGUGCAGGAACUGCUAGGAUAUGCUAAGGAAACCAGCAGCACAACAGCAAGGCCAAGAAAAGGAAAAUGUGCUUAUUUGAUAAAUAAGAGACUUGCGAGCACUCGAUCUGAGAUGUAGUUUCCGGGGAGAUCAAACGGAAAGGGGCUAGAUGGGGAGCAAUUAUGAACGUCUCGAUCAGUGUGUAGACAAGGCCAAGUGGAGGGAAAUAAGAAGUGCAAUUUUCUAGCUUAAUGGAUGUGGGUUAUCAGUGGUCUCUUCCAUCUCCUUGACCUGGAGCGUUUACUUCCUCUUGUCAGUUAUCACGCGGGCAUCAUCCGAUGGAUACGUUUGGUGCUCUUUUUGAUUCUCCUGCCUCCACUGGAGCACUACUAUGGACGCUUUUGGUUAGGGCUGGCAGUGUUGGCACUUGGUUCUGAUGCUUUGUGUAGAUAGACAUUGUCUACAGGCUGGUGAGGCAGGGAUACUAAUUAGUCCCCUUGAGUAGUUCUGUUUAAAUAUUUUGGAGUAAUUGUAGUACGAUGUUAUUUUUCUGUGGAUGUUGCUAUUUUGAUGUUCGUUAAUUUUUAGAGAAAAGGCCGGAUCCCUACUUUUUA